rnacentral:rRNA from 1 species
GACGAACGCUGGCGGCGUGCCUAACACAUGCAAGUCGAACGGUAAGGCCCUUCGGGGUACACGAGUGGCGAACGGGUGAGUAACACGUGGGUGAUCUGCCCUGCACUUCGGGAUAAGCCUGGGAAACUGGGUCUAAUACCGGAUAGGACCACUGCCUGCAUGGGUGGUGGUGGAAAGCUUUUGCGGUGUGGGAUGGGCCCGCGGCCUAUCAGCUUGUUGGUGGGGUGAUGGCCUACCAAGGCGACGACGGGUAGCCGGCCUGAGAGGGUGACCGGCCACACUGGGACUGAGAUACGGCCCAGACUCCUACGGGAGGCAGCGGUGGGGAAUAUUGCACAAUGGGCGCAAGCCUGAUGCAGCGACGCCGCGUGAGGGAUGACGGCCUUCGGGUUGUAAACCUCUUUCAGCACCGACGAAGCGCAAGUGACGGUAGGUGCAGAAGAAGGACCGGCCAACUACGUGCCAGCCGCCGCAGUAA